CCUACGGGUGGCAGCAGUGGGGAAUAUUGGACAAUGGGGGAACCCUGAUCCAGCCAUGCCGCGUGUGUGAAGAAGGCCCUCGGGUUGUAAAGCACUUUCAGUGAGGAAGAACGCCUGGUGGUUAAUACCCAUCAGGAAAGACAUCACUCACAGAAGAAGCACCGGCUAACUCCGUGCCAGCAGCCGCGGUAAUACGGAGGGUGCGAGCGUUAAUCGGAAUUACUGGGCGUAAAGCGCGCGUAGGUGGCUUGAUAAGCCGGUUGUGAAAGCCCCGGGCUCAACCUGGGAACGGCAUCCGGAACUGUCAAGCUAGAGUGCAGGAGAGGAAGGUAGAAUUCCCGGUGUAGCGGUGAAAUGCGUAGAGAUCGGGAGGAAUACCAGUGGCGAAGGCGGCCUUCUGGACUGACACUGACACUGAGGUGCGAAAGCGUGGGUAGCAAACAGGAUUAGAUACCCUAGUAGUC
rnacentral:rRNA from 1 species